GUCUGUAGAAGAAGCAGGUCGGUGUUGUAACCUCUCCCUUUGGUAUAGUUUCGGUUUUUAGUUUCAUUUACGUUGAAAUAUAUUGUAUAUUAAAACUGGAAACGUGAAGCAGUGCACGCGCUUGAGCUCGAGACACAGCGAUAGCAAACUGAGGUUCCACCACUCUACGUUCAUCCUCGCCAUCCAGCGCUGAUGUCGUCUGGCAUUUCACCUCUCCCCGAUACAGGUUGAUCUGUGAAACACGCAAUGGAUCACCGUCAGUGUUUGAAGACGCGUCUGCUGUGUGGUUAUGCAUUAUUGUCUGUGUGUACCUGUUCGGUGAGCAGU